UACGUAGGACCCAAGCGUUAUCCGGAGUGACUGGGCGUAAAGAGUUGCGUAGGCGGAAGUCAAAGCGAAUAGUGAAACCUGGUGGCUCAACCAUUCAGACUAUUAUUCGAACUCGGCUUCUCGAGAGUAGUAGAGGUACCUGGAAUUUCUCGUGUAGGAGUGAAAUCCGUAGAUAUGAGAAGGAACACCAAUGGCGUAGGCAGGGUACUGGGCUAUUUCUGACGCUAAGGCACGAAAGCGUGGGGAGCGAACCGG
rnacentral:misc_RNA from 1 species